UGUAAUUAUUUAGUAUAAUUAUAAAUGUAUAAAUAAUUUGAUAAUAAAUUAAAAAUUAAAUGGCGAAUAUCGACUCUGUCAACCAUAGCCGAUUGAAGAACCGUACACAACAUACAUAAAUAUGUCACGAGCAGGCACAAAACUUGACUCAAAAAAAGUUAAUUCUGAAUUGUUUACAUUGACAUAUGGAGCAUUGGUAGCCCAAUUACUAAAGGAUUAUGAAAAUGUAGAAGAUGUAAACAAACAGCUGGAAAGAAUGGGUUACAAUAUGGGAAUUCGUUUAAUAGAAGAUUUCUUAGCUCGAACUGGAUCUGGUCGGUGUUAUGACUUUCGAGAUACAGCUGAGAAAAUACAAACUGGGUUUAAAAUAUUUUUGGGAAUAACACCGACGAUCACAAAUUGGAGCGCUGCUGGUGAUGAAUUUUCUUUAUGUUUUGAAGCAAACCCAUUAACAGAAUUUGUUGAAUUACCAGAUCAUUGUUUAAAUUUAAAAUAUUGUAAUGUAUUAAUUGGAGUAUUAAGGGGAGCUUGUGAAAUGGUACAAAUGGAGAUUGCCUGUUGGUUUGUACAAGAUCAACUAAAAAAUGAUAAUGUAACUGAAUUACGCGUUAAAUUUAUUAAAAGAUUAGAAGAUGCUAUUCCAGCAGGUGAAGAUUAAAUAAUCUUGUUAUUAAAGGUUAUGGAAGUGAAGUGCAAACGUUGUAGAAAAAAUCUUUCUAAUAACGAACCUGUUUUAUUAUUUACUUCCCAUAAUGAAAUCAAGAAAAAUCCUAUGGAUGUUGGAUGUGAAGCAAAUGAUUCUGAAUCUUGUUCAUAUAUCUCAAUGGAAAAGCUGCCUAAAUGGAUUGAACAUGCUAUAAAUCAAGAAUCUUGGACGAAAGGUAGACUUCAUUGUCCAAAUUGUAAUAAUCGUAUAGGUACAUUUAACUUCAUAAAUGAGUUAAAAUGUAACUGCAAUACAUUUAUUACACUACCAGUCAAAAUAACUAAUAGCAAAGUAGAUAUUUUGUUUCACCUUAAAUAAAUCUAAUACAUUCCAAAUU